rnacentral:rRNA from 1 species
UACGUAGGGGGCAAGCGUUGUCCGGAAUGAUUGGGCGUAAAGGGCGCGUAGGCGGCCAACUAAGUCUGGAGUGAAAGUCCUGCUUUUAAGGUGGGAAUUGCUUUGGAAACUGGAUGGCUUGAGUGCAGGAGAGGUAAGCGGAAUUCCCGGUGUAGCGGUGAAAUGCGUAGAGAUCGGGAGGAACACCAGUGGCGAAGGCGGCUUACUGGACUGUUACUGACGCUGAGGCGCGAAAGUGUGGGGAGCAAACAGG